GACGAACGCUGGCGGCGUGCUUAACACAUGCAAGUCGAACGGAAAGGCCCUGCUUUUGUGGGGUGCUCGAGUGGCGAACGGGUGAGUAACACGUGAGUAACCUGCCCUUGACUUUGGGAUAACUUCAGGAAACUGGGGCUAAUACCGGAUAGGGGCUCCUGCUGCAUGGUGGGGGUUGGAAAGUUUCGGCGGUUGGGGAUGGACUCGCGGCUUAUCAGCUUGUUGGUGGGGUAGUGGCUUACCAAGGCUUUGACGGGUAGCCGGCCUGAGAGGGUGACCGGCCACAUUGGGACUGAGAUACGGCCCAGACUCCUACGGGAGGCAGCAGUGGGGAAUAUUGCACAAUGGGCGGAAGCCUGAUGCAGCAACGCCGCGUGCGGGAUGACGGCCUUCGGGUUGUAAACCGCUUUCGCCUGUGACGAAGCGUGAGUGACGGUAAUGGGUAAAGAAGCACCGGCUAACUACGUA
rnacentral:rRNA from 1 species